rnacentral:rRNA from 1 species
UACGUAGGGACCAAGCGUUGUUCGGAUUUACUGGGCGUAAAGGGCGCGUAGGCGGCAAUUCAAGUCAGCUGUGAAAUCUCCGAGCUUAACUCGGAACGGUCAGCUCAUACUGCUUUGCUAGAGUGCAGAAGGGGCAAUCGUAAUUCUUGGUGUAGCGGUGAAAUGCGUAGAUAUCAAGAGGAACACCUGAGGUGAAGGCGGGUUGCUGGGCUGACGCUGACGCUGAGGCGCGAAAGCUAGGGUAGCAACCGGG